rnacentral:rRNA from 1 species
GACGAACGCUGGCGGCGUGCCUAAUACAUGCAAGUAGAACGCUGAAGGAGGAGCUUGCUCUUCUGGAUGAGUUGCGAACGGGUGAGUAACGCGUAGGUAACCUGCCUGGUAGCGGGGGAUAACUAUUGGAAACGAUAGCUAAUACCGCAUAACAUUGACUAUUGCAUGAUAGUCAAUUGAAAGGUGCAAAUGCACCACUACCAGAUGGACCUGCGUUGUAUUAGCUAGUUGGUGGGGUAACGGCUCACCAAGGCGACGAUACAUAGCCGACCUGAGAGGGUGAUCGGCCACACUGGGACUGAGACACGGCCCAGACUCCUACGGGAGGCAGCAGUAGGGAAUCUUCGGCAAUGGACGGAAGUCUGACCGAGCAACGCCGCGUGAGUGAAGAAGGUUUUCGGAUCGUAAAGCUCUGUUGUAAGAGAAGAACGAGUGUGAGAGUGGAAAGUUCACACUGUGACGUAUCUACCAGAAAGGACGCA